CCUACGGGAGGCAGCAGUGAGGAAUAUUGGUCAAUGGCCGAGAGGCUGAACCAGCCAAGUCGCGUGAGGGAUGACGGCCCUACGGGUUGUAAACCUCUUUUGCCGGGGAGCAAAGAGCGGGACGCGUCCCGCCUCGAGAGUACCCGGAGAAAAAGCAUCGGCUAACUCGGUGCCAGCAGCCGCGGUAAUACGGAGGAUGCGAGCGUUAUCCGGAUUUAUUGGGUUAAAAGGGAGCGUAGAUGGGUUGUUAAGUCAGUUGUGAAAGUUUGCGGAUCAACCGUAGAAUUGCAAUUGAUACUGGCAGCCUUGAGUACAGUUGCAGUAGGAGGAAUGCGUGGUGUAGCGGUGAAAUGCUUAGAUAGCACGAAGAACACCGAUUGCGAAGGCAGCCUACGAAACUGCCACUGACAUUGAUGCUCGAAAGUGUGGGUAUCAAACAGGAUUAGAUACCCUAGUAGUC
rnacentral:rRNA from 1 species